GGAACUAUGGAUCAGUGGUACAGCAUCUACUUGGCAUGCAGUAGGUUCCAGAUUCAAUCUCUGGCAUUUCCA
rnacentral:tRNA from 1 species